GACGAACCGUGCGAACGUUGUUCGGAUUCACUGGGCUUAAAGGGCGCGUAGGCGGCUUGCCGAGUCAGGGGUGAAAUCUUUCGGCUUAACCGGAAAAGUGCUUCUGAUACUGGCAGGCUGGAGGGAGGUAGGGGCAGACGGAACUUCCGGUGGAGCGGUGAAAUGCGUAGAUAUCAGGAGGAACACCGAUGGCGAAGGCAGGUCUCUGGGCUGACACUGACGCUCAUGCACGAAAGCGUGGGGAGCAAACAGG
rnacentral:rRNA from 1 species